rnacentral:rRNA from 1 species
GACAGAGGGUGCAAACGUUGCUCGGAAUCACUGGGCGUAAAGGGCGUGUAGGCGGGUAGGAAAGUCAGAUGUGAAAUCCCCGGGCUCAACCCAGGAACUGCAUUUGAAACUCCCUUUCUUGAGUGUCGGAGAGGAAAGCGGAAUUCCUGGUGUAGAGGUGAAAUUCGUAGAUAUCAGGAGGAACACCGGUGGCGAAGGCGGCUUUCUGGACGACAACUGACGCUGAGGCGCGAAAGCGUGGGGAGCAAACAGG